rnacentral:lncRNA from 1 species
CAAGCUUUGAAGGUAAGCUUCAAACCCUUUAAUGGCAUUUCUCUCUAGUUUGGUUUUUAAGCUCUAAGAGUGGAUUUAGAGGUAUUCUAGCAUGCUAAUUAGAGGUUUGAUGCUUGAAACCAAGGCUCUAAUGGUGGAUUUUUACCUAGUUGUAAUCUAGGGCUCGAAAAUGCUAAUUUGGUAAAUAUGAGGGUUUGAUCUCAUUUGACCCUCUGUAAACCUAAUUGCUAGGUAAACGAACGCGUUGGCGAAGACGGUUCGGCGAUUCGUCGAGCCGUUGCGAAGUUAUUAAAGAAACGGACGUUUAGGCUUCGUUUCCGCCUGGAGGGCCGAGGCGACAUCGUAAACCCAUGAAAACGGAUUUGAAGCAUCGUGGCACAUAACCGAAGACCUUUAAUUUUCGGAUCGUGAAUUGGAGGCCGUUCGGGUGGUCGCGUGAGAGAUCGGGCCAAACCGGGUGCCGGGUGCCGCGGGAGGCCGAUUGCAAGUGUCGACAAGCAAUCGGAAUGCGAAAUGAGGUGGGUUGUGCUUACCGAAGCGACUAGGUCG